ACCAAGAAACCUACCAGGAUAUGAAGACAGAACUGUAAUUAAAGUGCAUGAUGGACCAUGUGAACACUCCUCAGAUGAGUUUGAACACUAAUAAAAGUUACUGAGUUCUCAGAGAGCCGUGUGGAGUAUGACUGACUCUUCAAAGAUUCCCAAUUUGGGAGCCAGGGUCUGGAGUUCAGUGGUAGAGUACACUAUUGUGUACGAAGCCGUAGGGAGUGUUGAAAGAGAGCAGCUCCUUGAGAAGAACAACUUGGUAGUAGAAGAUACUUGCUUCAAAUUCAUUCAUUCAUUUCUUCAAUAAAUGAU